GAAAUGCGAUAAGUAAUGUGAAUUGCAGAAUUCAGUGAAUCAUCGAAUCUUUGAACGCACAUUGCGCCCUUUGGCAUUCCGAAGGGCAUGCCUGUUCGAGCGUCAUUACACCAAUCAAGCCUGGCUUGGUAUUGGGCGACGGGGUCGGUCGAACCACCCCCCGCCCCAAAGACUUUUCCGGCGGGACGGACCGAAUCUCAGCGUUGUGCAAACGUGUCGCUGGCGAGACGGGACGGCCGUGCCGUUAAACCCCAUUUUCUUCAAGGUUGACCUCGGAUCAGGUAGGGAUACCCGCUGAACUUAAGC
rnacentral:misc_RNA from 1 species